CCUUCGAUAGCUCAGUGGUAGAGCGCGGAAUGCAAAUGUGGCCUUCCGAUUAGAUUUCAUCCCGAGGCGCUGGUUCGAUGCCAGCUCGAAGGA
rfam:Peniophora sp. CONT PENSPscaffold_2_Cont5, whole genome shotgun sequence.